UACAGAGACUGCAAGCGUUAUUCGGAUUCACUGGGCGUAAAGGGUGCGCAGGCGGUUGUGUGUGUCAGGUGUGAAAGCCCGGGGCUUAACCCCGGAAUUGCGCCUGAAACUACAUGACUAGAGCAUUGGAGAGGGUAGCGGAAUUCACGGUGUAGCAGUGAAAUGCGUAGAUAUCGUAAGGAAGACCAGUGGCGAAGGCGAGUCUCUGGACAGUUACUGACGCUGAGGCACGAAGGCUAGGGGAGCAAACGGG
rnacentral:rRNA from 1 species